rnacentral:lncRNA from 1 species
GCUGACUUCCUCUUCACCUUCUGCUAUGAUUAUAAGUUUCCUGAGGUCUCCCAGUCAUGCUUCCUGUACAUCCUGAGGAACUAACCUAUGGGAAGAUCAAGAAAUGUCACUUCUGAGAAAAAAAAAAUGUCUAAUGCAAGGAGUGAAGAGAGCUUUUUAUAUCUUACACUGACCACAACACACAGUUCAGAAAACUUAAAUAACCCUAACUAAAAUUUGAAAGGUGCUUCAAAGCAUAGAAAGUACCUUGACAUGUAUUUUCUCAUUGGAUUCUUAUAAACCUAUAAAACGGUGCUUACUCCAUUUCAGAAAUGAGAAAAUGGCGACCCAGAAAAUAAAGCAGCAUGCACAAGACUACAUGCUACACAGGGGACUGAUCUGACACCAAAACUUGACUGCAGAUUGUCUGCUUUCAACUCUCACCAGCAAAACAGACAAAAGUGCUUUGGACAUGCAAGUGUUUAUUAUGUUGCAUUUUGGAACUCCAGACCUAAAACCAAACAUAGACAAAUAUAAAACAAAACAAAAAAACACUAAAGAUCAAACCCAUUCUCAAACCCAAACACCCAGAAAAUAAAAGGAAAUUAUUAUUAUUUUUUUCUCAGGGGAAGCAAGUGGUUGAUUUCAUGUGGGAUUAACUCUCAACUCUGAUGAACCUCAUGGUCUCCUGGAUCUUCCCAAACCAAGGCUCUGGGACAGCAAUUAAUCAGAUGGAAAGUCUGGGGAUUUAUCUCUCCACCAUCACUGCUUUCUGCUGAAUGCUGACUUAAAGAUGUGAAUCCACUCAAUUAUCUCACAGUUAGGAAGAAGCGAAUCUAUAGUUCAACGACACAGAGAUGAGAGCCCAGGACAAUCCCUAAGAGUCUGACUGACAAUUAAUUAGAUAGAUAGCAUCUUAUACUUGGGAAAGACCUUAGAGGUCUCAUCCAAUCUCCCUCCUGCUAUAAGAAUCCUUCCCUAGCAAGCCUGACAAAUCACCACCUGGUGUUGGCUCCUGAGAUGGGAAUUUUCAUUGUCUCGAGGUACCCGUUCCACUGCUGUGAGAUGUGCUCUUGUUGUUAGAAUGGAUUGCCUUCUUGGGAUCAAAUUAUUUCCCCUUUUAAGCCGUCAGCCCACUUUUUUGGCCUGAAAGAUUAUGGUUAUUUGUGCAUUCACAUGCUAUUCUUUGAAUAUUUGAAGUCAGCUCUCUUGACUUCCUUAAACUAUCUCUUCUCUAUUCAAAA